UCAUUGUUGGAUGCCGAAUCAGCAUACAAUGCUUACAAUUGUGAGAGGAAAAUGAACAACCAAUUGCCUGGUUCAGUUAGGCUUGAAGCUAGGAAGGUUGACAUAGAAACAUUUGUUUAAGUGAAUAAUUGUAUCUUUUUUUUUUAAUUUGGCAUUUCUAUAUGAACUACUCUUAUUGUUGUAAUGGUUAUUGACAAGCUCAACCUUUGAAUAUAUGGAUAAAAAACCUUCAAAAUAUUUCCAUGUUCAAUCAUUGAGCAUUAGAGUAAUAUCAUCCAACCAACUAAUACACAAAACACAACUAAAAUUAUACAACAAAAGAAUAAGUCAAUGAUCAAUCUGUUAAGUCUGCUCCAAACUUCUCUGCCAUUAUCAUUUUGUUGAAGUAGCAAUUGCUGAAAACUCCCUUAUUGAGAACCUUUAUACGAUAUCCAAGAUGAAGAAUAAGGACAUAGAUGGGAUUGCAAGUUUGUACAAAAUAAGAACCAUAUUACAUUCCAGAAAAUGCAAAAUUAAUUAAGCAUAAAUAUAGAAACUGGAUUAUAACUUACAAUGUAAGAGUCAAAAGGAAACGAUGGAUAAAUAUCACAUCCUUGUAAUUGGUAUGCGAUCACAUGUUCUUAAAUAAUGACCAUUAUUUAGUGACCAUUAAAAAUUAAAAAAAAAUUAAAUAAUAUUACAUCAAAGAACAUUAAAUUUACUGGAUCCUUAUUGCUCUCCUGCGUUGGGACUACAAUAUCCACCUCAGAAGAUAAUGGUGUUUGUACAUUUAAUGUACAUUUGAAUCCUGCAAAUCCAUAAAAAGAUACAUUAAAAUUAAAAUUAAAUUAAUUGUAGAAUAAUUAAGUAGUUUAAUCUCACCUUAAUUGUUGUCAUCUAAUUCUUCCUUUUUUGGCUCAUAAGAAGAUAAUGGUGUUUAUCAAACAACAUCAUACUUUUUUGGUUUCACAUCCACAUCAUUAUCAGUUUUUUUCAUUAUUUCCAUCUAAAUUGUUGUUCAUCUAAUUCUUCAAAAUCUUCGACUUUAGUUUUUUUUUUCAAAUCCUUCAUUUUUAUACCAUGAAAAAUAAAUUGUAUUAAUCAUAUAUAAUUCAAACAAAAUCUACAUUUCAAAUAUCUUAUUUCUAAUAAUUUUAAAAUAUAAAUACAAUAAAUCAAAACUUUCCUCAACAUGCUAAAUUUAAUUACCUAGGUAGGUGAAAAAGGUCCAAAAUCGUCAAGCACACCUUCAAGUAAGGCUGGUCGGCGACGUGGUCGGUGAUGGGCUGGUCGGCGAUGGGCGUGGCGUGACAGCGAUGAUGGCUGGUCAACGAUGGGCGCGGCGUGACAACAAGUUUCGUGGGUGAGUGACAGCCUGAGAGAAACAGCUUGCUAGUGGGUGAGUGAGAGAGACAGAUCGGGUGAGUGAGAGGGAAGGUGAGAGAGAGAGAGAGAGAGAAUAAGCGAGUGAGAGGGACGGGUAAGAAUUUUGGAAUUUUCAAAUUCUUUAGAUUUAAUUUUGAUAUUUUUCAAUGGCAAAAUGUAUUUUUAAUUUUCAAAUUUAAAACUUCGAAACGGUAGAAGAAGCAUGUGUUUCUGGCUUCGUUAUGGUCUCGUGGCGGCCGAAUAUCAUUGCCCAUAACGUAAUAAAUCAUUGGUGAAA
rnacentral:lncRNA from 1 species